rnacentral:rRNA from 1 species
GUCCACGCCGUAAACGAUGGGUGCUAGGUGUCGGGGGGAGCGACCCCCUCGGUGCCGCAGCUAACGCAUUAAGCACCCCGCCUGGGGAGUACGGCCGCAAGGCUGAAACUCAAAGGAAUUGACGGGGGCCCGCACAAGCGGUGGAGCAUGUGGUUUAAUUCGAAGCAACGCGAAGAACCUUACCUGGGCUUGACAUGCUGGUGAAAGCCCCAUGAAAGUGGGGCCCUUCUUCGGAACACCAGCACAGGUGCUGCAUGGCUGUCGU